ensembl:processed_transcript uncharacterized LOC110333656
AAACAUCAGUAGCAGUCUAACGGAGCACAAUGAAACCAGCAUCUCCAGUCUGUAGCAACUGCUCAAUGAAAACAGCUGGCUACAGCCACGUAGCUUACCCUCUCCACGCUGCGCCUUCUCAGAGAUCCAUAAGCCUUGUGAAGCAGCAGCAGCAGCAGUGGCAGCAGCGGCACCUUCAGCUUCCUUCUGGCUGUCCCUGCAGCUCUGGCUCAGCGUGACCUGCUGCCCCAGGAGUGGGUACGUAGGGCUUGUGAGGAGAGUGAUCCAGAAAUGUCAACUUGGCUUCUCCAGGCUACGGAUGGCAACCAGUUGGUCUAUGGAGAGGUCUUGGAAUGUCCGUGGAAGGCAGAGCCACUGAGCUAUGCCUACUAGAGAUGAGAGAUAAGCAACAAAUCUUCUCAUCUUCUGAAACAAGGGGAGGAUGGACUGACAAUCAGAAGCAGUUCACAUAUAACAAGAAUUCUAUACUUGCCAGUCUUUUAAAAUAUUUAUUUUUAAUGAAAACUCUAGAUGUA